CAAAUUAGAGCUUGAGAAAGUAUUUCAUUUACAUUGAAAAGAUAUUAUAUUUAAUUAAUUUGA
rnacentral:tRNA from 1 species